rnacentral:lncRNA from 1 species
AUCUAUAUGCUGAUUGAGUAUACAAAACAUUAGGAAUACCUGCUCUUUCCAUGACAGACUGUCCAGGUGAAUCCAGGUGAAAGCUAUGAUCCCUUAUUGAUGUCACUUGUUAAAUCCACUUCAAUCAGUGUAGAUGAAGGGGAGGAGAUGGGUUAAAGAAGGAUUUUUAAGCCUUGAGACAAUUGAGACAUGGAUUGUGUAUGUGUGACCUUCAGAGGGUGAAUGGGCAAGACAAAAGAUUUAAGUGCCUUUGAAUGGGGUAUGGUAGUAGGUGCCAGGCGCACCGGUUAGUGUUUUAAGAACUGCAACGCUGCUGGGUUUUUCAUGCUCAACAGUUUUCCGUGUGUAGCUAGAAUGGCCCACCACUAAAUGGACAUCCAGCCAACUUGACACAACUGUGGGAAGCAUUGGAGUUAACAUAGGCCAGCAUCCCUGUGGAAUGCUUUCGACACCUUGUAGAGUCCAUGUCCCAACAAAUUGAGUGCGAAAGGGAGUGCAACUCAAUAUUAGGAAGGUGUUGCUAAUGUUUUGUUAAAAAAUGGGGGGGGGGUUUUACAUUUUGCCUACCCCACUGCAGCGACCCCAAGUUUGAAUACCACUUUUUUUAAAGGUUCUCUCGCUUCAAUGCUAGAAAAUCACUAGUGAAUUCAUUUAGUAGCCAAUGUCGCCACGUUCAACAAAUAUCAAAUCAAAUCAAAUGUAUUUAUAUAGCCCUUCUUACAUCAGCUGAUAUCUCAAAGUGCUGUACAGAAACCCAGCCUAAAACCCCAAACAGCAAGCAAUGCAGGUGUAGAAGUAUGCCCCAUUAAAAGUCCCUCAAUUAUACCAAAUAUGGUGUUAUAAUUGAACAAUUCCUUUACUUGUGGUAUGCAGGGCCAUUCUAUUCCUUAGUUUCAUUUUACAAAUGAAAUCAUCAUGUGGGAUCAUCUGUUUUCAAAGGAUUCAAUUUCUUUUCAAAUGUCUGUUCAUUUUACCAAUAGAGACCAAUAGAGACAUGUUUCCAUACAAUGUGAAUACCCGUAAAAUAAAUUAUGCUUUAUGCUUUACAAGAGGUUUUACCCUGUGAGUGAAGUUGUUCUGGUUUUGCUGUGUAACUAUUCUCUGAGAAAUGUUUUCUGUACAGUGUGUUUGUUUUCGAGCUCCUAUGGAUACAGAGAGAGGGGGUAAAGAAUAAGCUGUACAGAGCUCAUUGUUAUAUCAUACAGAGGCUAUAGUGUCAAUGCACAUAAUCCUCUUAUGGAACAUUAUUGUCAUAAGUGUGUAAAUACAGAAUGCUCAACCAGGGUUUCCCUGUGGAGGUUCCAGUGGCUCUCUAUUUCUACAAGCCCUCAGCUUAACCAUCAAAUUGAACUUGUGGGAACACAUCCACAUACAAGCACACACAUCUACAGGCAUGAUGAGUAAUGAUACAUUCACACAUUCAAUUAGCAGGUUUUCUAUAACAUCUAGUUGCUAGGUCACAGAGAUUGCAUCCUAAAUGGUACCCUUUUGCAAUUACCUGCUCUGGUCAAAAGUAGCGUGCUCUAUAUAGGGAAUUGGGUGCCAUUUGGGACGCACCCUGAGACAACGUGGGGUCAGCUGGAUGAACUCCCGAGUUUAGCGAAUGGAUAGUGGGAUUCUGUGCAGCCAACUUUUAUGCACGAAAACAUUCACAGACAUUAAAUCAAGCCUAGUUGAAAUAAGAUUGCCAAUUACCUUGAAGGCUAAAGGGAGUUGAAUUGGAAUGAAAAGGAAUCAUCAUGAAGAAGAAGUAGUACUCAGACUUUCACUGGGAGACCUUGGGUAGGAUGGCAGGAUUUGGCUGCUAUUUUAUAUGCUUUAUUUUCUUAUGUUGUCAUUUUUAUUCCAC